UGCAGCGCAGGCUCAUGCUACUGUUGAUUUCUGCUGGUCUGGGUUUUGCUGUCAGGGAUCCCUUGGCUUUUGCACUGCUUGCAACUUCCUCUGAGCUCUGUAUGCCAAUCCUUAGAAUGCUGUAAUGGAGGGAGCUGGCGGGGUGACUGCUGACCAGGUUAGAGAGCCGGAAUGGAGGGAGCUGAUGGGGUGACUGCUGACCAGGUUAGAGAGCCGGAAUGGAGGGAGCUGAUGGGGUGACUGCUGACCAGGUUAGGGAGCCGGAAUGGAGGGAGCUGGCGGGGUGACUGCUGACCAGGUUAGAGAGCCGGAAUGGAGGGAGCUGAUGGGGUGACUGCUGACCAGGUUAGGGAGCCGGAAUGGAGGGAGCUGACGGGGUGACUGCUGACCAGGUUAGAGAGCCGGAAUGGAGGGAGCUGACGGGGUGACUGCUGACCAGGUUAGAGAGCCGGAAUGGAGGGAGCUGAUGGGGUGACUGCUGACCAGGUUAGGGAGCCGGAAUGGAGGGAGCUGACGGGGUGACUGCUGACCAGGUUAGGGAGCCGGAAUGGAGGGAGCUGACGGGGUGACUGCUGACCAGGUUAGAGAGCCGGAAUGGAGGGAGCUGACGGGGUGACUGCUGACCAGGUUAGGGAGCCGGAAUGGAGGGAGCUGACGGGGUGACUGCUGACCAGGUUAGAGAGCCGGAAUGGAGGGAGCUGACGGGGUGACUGCUGACCAGGUUAGGGAGCCGGAAUGGAGGGAGCUGGCGGGGUGACUGCUGACCAGGUUAGAGAGCCGGAAUGGAGGGAGCUGAUGGGGUGACUGCUGACCAGGUUAGGGAGCCGGAAUGGAGGGAGCUGAUGGGGUGACUGCUGACCAGGUUAGGGAGCCGGAAUGGAGGGAGCUGAUGGGGUGAUUGCUGACCAGGUUAGGGAGCCGGAAUGGAGGGAGCUGAUGGGGUGACUGCUGACCAGGUUAGGGAGCCGGAAUGGAGGGAGCUGAUGGGGUGACUGCUGACCAGGUUAGGGAGCCGGAAUGGAGGGAGCUGGCGGGGUGACUGCUGACCAGGUUAGGGAGCCGGAAUGGAGGGAGCUGAUGGGGUGACUGCUGACCAGG